AAUGAACGCUGGCGGCAUGCCUAACACAUGCAAGUCGAACGAGAACUUCGGGUCUAGUGGCGCCCGGGGGCGUAACGCGUGGGAACCUGCCCUUAGGUUCGGAAUAACUCUCCGAAAGGGGUGCUAAUACCGGAUAAUGUCUUCGACCCAAAGAUUUAUCGCGUUUGGAUGGGCGCGAGUUGGAUUAGCUGGUUGGUAGGGUAAAAGCAUACCAAGGCGAGGAUCCAUAAGUUGUCUCAGAGGAUGAUCAGCCACACUGAGACGAGGAAACGGCCCGGACUCCUACGCGAGGGGGCAGAGGCGGAUAGAGCACAGCGGGGGGAAGGCUGAAGGAGCUAGGCCGGGAGAGUGCUGUAGGCCUUAAGGAAGUAAAGCUCUUUUAACCGGGAUGGUAAUGACGGUACCGGAAGAAUAAGCUCCGGCUAACUACGUG
rnacentral:rRNA from 1 species